UGAUGAAGGUUUUCGGAUCGUAAAGCUCUGUUGUUAGGGAAGAACAAGUGCCGUUCAAAUAGGGCGGCACCUUGACGGUACCUAACCAGAAAGCCACGGCUAACUACGUGCCAGCAGCCGCGGUAAUACGUAGGUGGCAAGCGUUGUCCGGAAUUAUUGGGCGUAAAGGGCUCGCAGGCGGUUUCUUAAGUCUGAUGUGAAAGCCCCCGGCUCAACCGGGGAGGGUCAUUGGAAACUGGGGAACUUGAGUGCAGAAGAGGAGAGUGGAAUUCCACGUGUAGCGGUGAAAUGCGUAGAGAUGUGGAGGAACACCAGUGGCGAAGGCGACUCUCUGGUCUGUAACUGACGCUGAGGAGCGAAAGCGUGGGGAGCGAACAGGAUUAGAUACCCUGGUAGUCCACGCCGUAAACGAUGAGUGCUAAGUGUUAGGGGGUUUCCGCCCCUUAGUGCUGCAGCUAACGCAUUAAGCACUCCGCCUGGGGAGA
rnacentral:rRNA from 1 species